rnacentral:lncRNA from 1 species
UUGUGUUGGAGGAUAGAGCUCACUUGUUCAGUCAGAAAGACCUUUUUAGGCACAUGUGUCCUAGAUUUUCAUUUUUGGGUACAAAGGUCUUUAAGAAAUUUGGCAUAGGAUGGAACUUGUUUUAUGGCAUCAAGGAGAGGGAGGUUGAUUUUGACUUGUUUGAAGAUCUCCAUUAUUUCUUCCAACGAAGUUCCUUUCAUGCCAAAGGGAGAAGGUGCUUUCAGACAUUAAGG